AAGUCGUAACAAGGUUUCCGUAGGUGAGCCUGCGGAAGGAUCAUUAACACGAAACCCACGUUUCAUACCAACCUGUGCUCUUGUAAACUUUUAAAAAAAAGAAGUGAUCGGACGACUGCAAGGAAGUUCGAUUGCCUCCUUUUUUUCUUGUACUAAACAAAAACCCCUUGUAUCAUUUAUUGACUGAACCUUUAGGAGUUCGAGUACCUACUUUUUAAGUGGGAGCUCGCUUCUGGAUAUACGAAACUCUGAACAACUCUAAGCAACGGAUAUCUUGGUUCUC
rnacentral:misc_RNA from 1 species